rnacentral:lncRNA from 1 species
ACAAUUCUGAAGGAAGGAUAUGAUUCAAUAAAAUGUAAGAAUAUCCAAUAUAGGGGUUCAUAUGCAUAGAGUGGGUCAUACGAUCAUGAUGCACGAUAUAGCAAAAGAUAUCUUGCAUCAACACAUCUUGCCCGCUUCUUGUUCACAGUUUUGCCUCAGCCAUGGCCUUCUUGAUGUUGUCUUCUCCUGAUAGCAGCAAGGCAUUAGCAAUUAGAAGCCAGCGAGUGAGCACGACUAGAAAAGCAAUACAUAUGAUUCCAAUUCCUUUUCAGGUAGGAUGUGGUGCAAUAUUUACAUAGACCAUAUCCAGAUCAUAGUAGUGCAUAGUUCCUUAUAAGUUGUACAAAACAAACAUCGGCACACUACAAAAGAUAGGAAUGCGCAAUGAGACCUUUAGCUAGCUUUGAUAGCUUGGUUUUUAAGUUACUUUGAGGCAAAAGAGAUCUGGUUCUUCACCUCAAAAAUGAUUUGCAUGUAGGAAUAUCAGAAUAUGAUUCUGAAACCAUGGCACAUGGCUGGUUAGUAUGGUUUGUCAUCACAUUCAGUUGCUUUCAGAAUGGAAAAGGACAACUAAUAAUUGGAAAGAACCAUAUAUUCUGACUAUGCCAUAUCAGUGCUUAAUUGGUCGGGCCAUAUAUAAACCUUUUACCAUGGGGUGUUUCUUUAUUCUGCUUCAAAAAUAGACAGGAAUGACAUAAAUAUGUGCAUAGCACUGUUAACUAAGAAAGAGAAUAUUAAAUUUGGGAGUACACAGGCAAGCCAAGUCAGGUACGAAAAUAGCAGAUAGCAAAGCAAUGUGAGAAUAGCAGUCGAGUAUAGUGGCGUACCAUCCAUUCUCAAAGAGUUGAUUGGUUUAUGACGAUGGUUCCAGGAGAAAGCUGCAAUAGAAAAAUAAUAAUAUAUUCUUACAAAGAAGGCCCAAAGAUUUAAGCAGGAUAUGGUAAUAAAUAUACAUGAUAUGUGAACUUUAAAACUAUUACAGAGAGGUAAAUGCAGAUUUCUAAGGAACAUAUUGUACUAAUUGUUCAGGCAAAGCAAAUAAAUUAAUUAAAUUGGGUCCAUGAUGUAUAGGUGGGUCAAUGCUUCAAGGAUUAUGGCUUGUGGUAGGGCUACCUUCAUAAAAAUGAGACAGAAUGAACAUCAUCAGUGGCAGCCAUAUGUGGAGUUGAGACAGAAAUAAAUCAUUGAGAAUAAUUUAUAGUUUCUUUAAAUGGAACUUGUCCAAAUCGCAAUUGUGAUGCAACUACAAUGAGAAGUCGUCGCCGACCAUAUGACAAUGCUAAGAUUCUGUCAAGCUUGCAAUACCAAGCCCAUAAUUCUAUAGAAGUUCAUUUGCAGAAGAUAAAUAUAUCUGCAUAGCUACUGCUGGAGAGCAUCAACGGUGGCAUCUUAUUUGCCAACUAUAUUAUUCCUAUUUAUACACAACAUAUUUUGACUACUGCACAAGUUUUCGUACAAGAGUUCUGGAUUAAAUAAAAUAUGGAUCUUACCCAUUAUAUCGUAUAACAUUUCCAUACAGAGCGAAGGCAGCAAACAUGAAUCCAACAUACCAACUGCAACUCCACGAGGCCUAUCACUGACAAACAAAAUAGCACCUGCAUCAAGAAGACGACACAGUCACACAUCUCACCGGGUGAAAAGAUUUUUUAUACUCGAGAGACCAAACUGAUGGCAGCAUCCAAUAUUAAAGACCACAUAUUCAAGAAGGAAACUCAACUUCUAGAAGCAAAGUUUUUUUCUUCAAUCACAUAUAAAAAACAGAGUUUCCAACUGUGUAUAACUACUUUUUAUGCAUGAACAAAUUUAGAGAUUGCCAAUAUCCUAUGCCUGCUGGAUAUUAGAAAUGCAGGAAGCAAUCAUACUUCUUUUGGAACCAUGUCGACAAAAGAACUGGGAGACGAAAUAUGAUACUCAAAGCUCACAGAUUAGGCUAUCUAAUGAGAUUCUCCCAGUGAAAACUGCAUAACUUUAAAGUAAAUGCCAAGUAUCACUAAAUGUGUGCUUGAAAACUGACAAGGCUCACAUAUUUAGUUUAGAUUCACCUAAACUAAAUGUGUGCUUGAAAACUGCAUAACUUUCAAGGAAAUAGCAAAUAUCACUAAUAAUAUCAAAUCAAAAAAGGAUGGACAAAAUAUAAGAAGAUUCAUGUACCAAUCAGAACUGGGAUUCUCCGAGUCGUCAAACAUUCAGUCAUAAAAUAUAUCCUUUAUAUCAUGUUUUCAAUAUCACAACAGGUUAACAAUCACACUAUCAAUGUAAGGUACUACAUGCCUUUCUUGUGUUUACAUAGACAGUCAUCGUUUCUCUAGUUUCUAAAAACACAGACUAACUAAAGGGAUCGUAAACCUAGAUGAUGGCACUUCAACAUCGAAAAUGACAAAUCAUUCCAUUUGUCACAGAGCAGUGAAUAAGAUUGAUUCUUACCUAGUAAUAAUUUCUGAAAACAAUUUAACAGGAAGAAGGCACAAACCAACAAAUGGAUCACCUUGCUGUUUCUAAAUAUAAGAUCCCCGCUCUUAACAUUCCCACCAUGAUAUGAUCUUAAUGAAUUCCAUCAGGAUGAGACCAAAGCAGACUCGCCUCCAAACAUAACAACAUAAGUUUUGAUUAAAAGGACAACCAAACAACUGGUCUGCAAACGGAGAAAUAUGCAACAAAAAUUGAAACUUCAGAGUUCAGAGGAUCAUCUAUACUGAGAAGAGUACAGUAAAAUAGAAACGGAAGCGGUUCCAAAACCAGCACUCAAACCUUACAAAGUUUUGUAUAUGUGAAAAGAUGAUUUAUUUUUCAAUACAAGCAUGUCCUGCAAUUA